rnacentral:rRNA from 1 species
ACUCAAAUGAAUUGACGGGGACUCGCACAAGCAGUGGAACAUGAGGUUUAAUUCGACGAUGAACGAAGAACCUCACCCGGGCUUGAAAUUCUAGUAGCAAGCCGCUGGAAACAGUGGCCCUCCGCAAGGACUGCUAGGACAGGUGCUGCAUGGUUGUCGUCAGCUCGUGCCGUGAGGCGUUCCCUUAAUUGGGGUAACGAGCGCAACCCCUGCUCCGUGUUACAAGUGUCACGGAGGACUGCCCAGCCUAAAGAUCGGAAACGGAAACGUUUAUGAUUUUCAGGCUGGGAGGAAGGAGGGGAUGACGUCAAAUCAGCAUGGCCCUCUGAUGCCCGGGGCUACACUCAUGUUACAAUGGCGCGGACAAUGGGCUGCCAACCCGCAAGGGGGAGCUAAUCCCGUAAACCGCGUCUUAGUUCGGAUUGGGGGCUGCAACUCGCCCCCAUGAAGCUGGAAUUGCUAGUAAUCGUGGGUCAGCUAUACCACGGUGAAUACGUUCUCGAGUCCUGUACACACCGCCCGU